CUAGAAUUGACUGGUUUGGACUAAAUGUUGCAAGCGGGGAACCUUGAGCUACCUACGCCAGCGUUCUGGAUUAUUUUCCAAAUUUGGUUCCUGAUAAUCUGAGAAAGCUAUGCGCUCAGUAAGAGCAGGGACCUUGUUUUAUCAAACUUUGAUCUUUCAUUAAGCACACAGUGGGCAUUCAACAAACUUGUGUAAACUUGGAAUCAGAUUUAGCCCAGGCCGGUGCGGUGGCUCCUUCCUGUAAUCCCAGCACUUUGGGAAGCCUAGGAGGGCGGAUCGCUUGAACUCAGGUGUUCGAGACCAGCCUGAGCAACAUAGCGAGGCUCCGUCUCUACAAAAAAUACAAACACUAGCCGGCCCUGUGGUGCAGACCUGUAGUCCCAGCUACUGAAGAGGCUGAGGUGGGAGGAUCCCCUGAGCCCAGGCGGUCGAGGCUGCAGUGAGCUGAGAUCGGGCCUCUCCAUUCCAGCCCGGGCGACAAAGUAAUUUUUAUUUUGCAGCCUGUUUCUUUGUAAAAAGGAGAUAGAGACACUAACUCGCGAGCUGUGAAUAAUGUAUCCGUAUAAGAGGAUUUAUCACAGAUCAUAGUAGGUGCUUAAAAAUAUUGUGUUAUUGGCCGGGCGCGGUGGCUGACUCCUGUGAUCCCAACACUUUGGGAGGCUGAAGCAGGCGGAUCAUGAGGUCAAGAGAUCAAGACCAUUCUGGCCAACAUGGUGAAACUCCCUGUCUACUAAAAAUACAAAAAUUAGCUAGGCAUGGUGGCGCGUGCCUAUAGUCCUAGCUACUCGGGAGGCUGAGGCAGGAGAAUCGCUUGAACCCGGGAGGCAGAGGUUGCAGUGAGCUAAGAUUGUGCCACUGCACUCCAGCCUGGAGACAGAGUGAGACUCUGCACCCCCCCAAAAAAAUUGUGUUAUUAAAAUACAAAUGGCAGCUUCCACUCCACUGUAAUUGUCAAUUACAAGCUUAACUACAACUCACUGAGGUAUGAAGUGAAUGAGUUAUAGACCACAUAAGCAAAGUACUACAGGAACAAUGAAUAAGAAAACGUUACUUCUGUCAGAUAAUAUAUAAUUUGCCCUUAGGUCGUCAAUAACGCACUCCUUUAAAACUCUAAAUAUUGCACAGCAUCUACUGCAUCUCAAACAGUAGAGCCUCAAUGGCAAAGCCUUCACUGACUUCUUCAGAAAAAGUUAGGAUUGUUCCACUCCCCUCAGGACUCUGUAAGGUGUGGGCAGGGCACCGUGGCUCACGCCUGUAAUCCCAGCACUUUGGGACGCUGAGGCGGGUGGAUCACCUGAGGUCAAGAGUUCCAGACCAGCCUGGCCACCAUGGUGAAACCCCCAUCUUCCACUAAAAAUAAAAAAAAAUUAGCUGUGCGUGGUGGUGGGUGACUGUAAUCCCAGCUACUCGGGAGGCUGAGGCAGGAGAAUCGCUUGAACCCAGGAGGCAGGAGUUGCAGUGAGCUGAGAUCGUGCCACUGCACUCCAGCCUGGACAACAAGGGCAAAACUCCGACUCAAAAAAUAAAUGAAUAAAACUCUGGUAUUGUGUUUUGAUGGAAAGUACUAUGACUUCGGAGUACCACGAACCUGGAUUUCAGUCCCAGUUUUGUUGCUGUUAACCACUUCAGAUUUAAUGUCUUCAUCUGUAAAAUCGAAUAUAUGAAAAUGUAUGUCUUCUGUUUUGUGAAAAGUAAAUGAUAUAUGUAAAAACAGUAGGUGUUGCAGAAUGGGUACUCAGUAAAUGCCACUUCUCUACCCCUACUAAUUUCAAAGCUUUAUCUUUGUUUCUCCGGCACCCUAAUGUCUGGCACUUUAAAUGUUUGCUGAAUGAAUUAAUGAGUAAAAGAAGAGAAAUAAAAUGACAUUUCUCUUGCUAUGGAAUUGUUAAUGUCAUAAAAAACAAUACAAAUCAUUUUAUAUUGAUUUGUGAAAAAAAUUAUGAAUGAAAGGAUAACUACAUUACUGAAAAAAUGUUAACAACUUUAUU
rnacentral:lncRNA from 1 species